UUACACUGAGACUGGUGUAAGUCUUAUAUGAAAGGAAAGAAAGGUCUCAUAAAAGGGAUACAAAUGUUAGGAUGGAAAGGGGAAAGUGUAGAGCCAAGGUUCUGAGGGAAAUGAUAAGAAAUAGGCUUCAAGAUUACAAUAGCACAUGCCUAGCACAUCGGGGGCUAAGGGAGGACGACCAGAGUCCGAAGCCAGCCUGGUUACACAGGGGGACCCUGUCUCAGAGAGAGGAGAGGGGACUCUGAAGUAACCUCAUCUGAAAGAAGAUGAUAAUAAAAGGUCGGCCGGGUGGUUUGUGAGCCACCAUGUGGUUGCUGGGAUUUGAACUCAGGACCUUUGAAAGAGCAGUCAGUCCUCUUACCCGCUGAGCCACCUCACCAGCCCGCAGCAGCAGCCUUUCUUAAGUGCUCAUGUUCCGGGCAAUUGCAAGGAUGUCAAGGAUGCUAGUUCAUUUAUCCUCACACUCACUGCAUGGGGCUUCUGGAAACCUAACCAAGAUCUGGUGAAAUGUUCAGAACUGCCCAGCUACAAUGCCACGUAAGCAGAGUUUCAACCUGUGCAAUUUGGCCAAAACCAAUAUUCUUUCUCACAUUGUGUGCCUCUCUAGGUUAUAAGGAUACCUAGUAAAAAUGUACACAAAUGGCCAUCCUCUUAUUAAAUAUCAAGUCACAGGACAAAAUGAUCCAAAUGAAAUCCUACAUCUUUAAUUUGAAAAUAGUUGAAACUUCAUAAAUGCACAAGCCAUGUCCUCAAGAAGAAGAAAGAACAAAGAAGUAAUUUCUUGAUAUGGGCAAAAUGAAUAGGGCUUUGGGAAGCUGAGUUGAAGUAAGCCAGCCAAUCAGGUAAACACGAAUAAAGAACUUCUUGAAAUC
ensembl:antisense